rnacentral:lncRNA from 1 species
GGUCAGGCUGAGUGGUGUGCAAGCAGUGCUUUGCCUUGCAAAGCAGUCUUUGCUGGCCACUCCAGCCCUGAGAUGCUCCCAGGGCCUUCUGCAGAGCCAGCAGGCACCAUGCAGUUGAGUUUAGGGGUGAGCUCCAGGAGGGCGUUCCUCUGGGCAGCCCCACAUGGGGUUUUGUAUGAUGGUGGUGCCCCUGCAGGCACCCAGGAACUGUCUCCAAGGUGCUCCUGUGUGGAAGGGAGAGAACAGCGUCAUGAAGGAAUCCCCUGCUUUAAUUGCAUCCUGUGUCUUUCUGAUUGGAAGGAUGUUUAAUGGGAGUUGCUCUGUCCUGUGUUUGUUUGCAGAUGUGACUGGACGAGAUGACCCAGCUUCCCGUCUAAGUUCUGGGACUGAAACUCUGGCGGAUCGCAUGGUGCCCACAGGGAGGGCCUUGCCCGGUCCUUGGUUUCUUCCUGUGCCGGAGCGCAGCUGGAAUCCCAGGGGUCCGGAAGGAGGAAAGGAUGAAUCCCAAAGAGGAAGAUACUCCGAGGGCUCAUCCCAUCUCCUGGAGGAACUGGUGAAGGAAAUGGAGAAGGCAGCGCGUGAAGGGGCUGACCAACAGACUGCGCAGAAGGAGGCACUGCAAGAAGGCAGCCCUCCCACACGGCCAGCCUUGGACAAUGAAACCCAGGCAGUGCAAGCAACUGGCAUGCCAGGGAUGAAUGCAGGGAACACGACGGCUGCUGUUCGCACAUUUCAGCGACAGCGCUACAUCUCAGCGAUUGCGGCGGCCUCUGCUGUGCUGCUGUCUGCGCUGGUGCUGGCCUGCGUUGCCGUGUCACGGAUGUGGAAAAAAUAUCUAGAGGGCAAGAGAGAAAAGAAAGCAGCAAAACGAGCUCAUCCUGACACCGAUGGGGAAAGAGUUCCAACUGGAGAUGAAGGCACGGUGGAGCUAGGAGAUGGCAAAAGAGGACUGGUCCCUUCCGAUUCGCUUGAAGAAGUUUCAAAUGACGAAAUACCGGUGUGGGAAAGGAUACCGUAUUGA